rnacentral:rRNA from 1 species
CUACGGGUUGCAGCAGUGGGGAAUAUUGGACAAUGGGCGAAAGCCUGAUCCAGCAAUGCCACGUGAGUGAUGAAGGCCUUCGGGUUGUAAAGCUCUUUCAACAAGGAAGAUAAUGACGGUACUUGUAUAAGAAGCACCGGCUAACUCCGUGCCAGCAGCCGCGGUAAUACGGAGGGUGCUAGCGUUGUUCGGAAUUACUGGGCGUAAAGAGCGCGUAGGCGGCUUAUUAAGUUAGAAGUGAAAUCCCAGGGCCUAACCCUGGAACUGCUUUUAAAACUAAUUUGCUAGAGUUAGGUAGAGGAUAGUGGAGUUCCCAAUGUAGAGGUGAAAUUCGUAGAUAUUGGGAGGAACACCAGAAGCGAAGGCGGCUAUCUGGACCUUAACUGACGCUGAGGCGCGAAAGUGUGGGGAGCAAACAGGAUUAGAUACCCGCGUAGUC